AAAGACUUUUUUAUUCUAACAUAGCCUGAGUAUGUUAGGAAACUAGAGCUGCAUAACCACUGCCUCUUAACUCUGCUAGCCCUGGCAUCUUAUCUGUACGAUUUCUGCAGUGAUGGGAGGGAAGCUAGUAGCUCUCUAGUUCAUUAAACGGAACGUCUGUCUAGGAAGAUACCAGGAAGAUAUUUUAUAAAUGAAUGUCGAUAUUUUUCCUUCCAAUGUAAUUAGAUAUUCUGUUUCAAUCUAAGGCUCUUCUUACAGGCGAAAGGAAUAAUGAAGCUUUCAACCAUGAUACAACUGAGAAGAUUUCAGCAUCCACAUAGAAAGAAAAGCAGGGCAAUGCACCCUCCAAGCUUAGGAAGGAGGCAGCCAGAGAACUCCUGGCUCCUUUGUGGGGCUUCACUGAGAAGAUGAACCUGCCAAUGAGGUGUGCAGAGAACUUUGGCUGCACAAGUUAAGAGGAAGAGGCUGAGUCUCAGCUCAGAGAGUGCUGGUAAUGCCAAGCACAGCAGAGCUGCCAGAGGGAUCUACUUGGAAUCUGGGGAGGCCCUGGGGAGACUAACUGGUACAAUUUAAAGAGAUGCAAAGCAAAUGAUAUGCGGGGCAAUCAUGUGAAAAGCCUGCUGCCUUACAGGAUGGACUCCAGCUGCUCAGCGGGACCGGCUGUUGGGGGCUGGGUUUUGGGAGGGUAAGAGGGCCCCGGAUGGAGUGAUGGACACUCUAACUCACUACUCCACCGUGCAAUACAGUCCAGAUUGUUCAACAACUCUGAGAAUAAAUGCUCUUUUUAAAAAAAUUGGUGUCAAAUCUACUGUACUGGGUUGAUGUGAAAUUGAAAUUGAAAUAAGUUGUAUAUAAAAUGUCUGGCACAUAGUAGUGAUCAAUAAAUAUUAAUCCCUUCCCCAGACCAAUGCUGUAUCUCCAUUUCCGGGGCACAUACCACAUUGUCUAAAUCAAUGUUUUAUUCACUCAUACAUCAAAGAUAAUGGAAACACUUAUAUUUUAGAAAGAACUUACUGUACAUUUUAUAUUCUUUUUGGUAAAUUGAAUAAACACUCUUCAGAGAUAUAUAAAC
rnacentral:lncRNA from 1 species